rnacentral:ncRNA from 2 species
AUAAUUAGGAUAGCGCCAGACCUGUUAAACAGGUGACGAGGAAAGAGUUUAUCGAAAGCAUCGGCGGAUGACUCUAGGGACUGCACUCUAAAGGAAAGAAUCAAAAAAUAAUUGCGAAAUUAUAACAAAGGUCUUUCCAUGCAGAAUA